rnacentral:rRNA from 1 species
AUCGAACGCUGGCGGCAUGCCUAACACAUGCAAGUCGAACGAACUCUUCGGAGUUAGUGGCGGACUGGUGAGUAACACGUGGGAACGUGCCUUUUGGUUCGGAAUAACUCAGGGAUACUUGUUCUAAUACCGAAUGUUCCCUUCGUGGGAAAUAUUUAUAGCCAUUAGAGCGGCCCGCGUCUGAUUAGCUAGUUGGUGAGGUAACGGCUUACCAAGUCGACGAUCAGUAGCUGGUCUGAGAGGAUGACCAGCCAAACUGGGACUGAGGCACGGCCCAGACACCUACGAGAGGCAGCAGUGGGGAAUCUUGCGCAAUGGGCGAAAGCCAGAAGGAGCCAUGCCGCGUGAAGGAUGAAGGUCUGAGGAUUGUAAAAUUCUGUCAACGGGGACGAUAAUGAAGGUAACCGGAGAAGAAGCCACGGCUAAAUUAGUG